AUACGUAGGGGGCAAGCGUUAUCCGGAAUUACUGGGCGUAAAGGGUGCGUAGGCGGUUUAUCAAGUCAGGGGUGAAAGGCUACGGCUCAACCGUAGUGAGCCUCUGAAACUGGUGAACUUGAGUGUAGGAGAGGAAAGUGGAAUUCCCAGUGUAGCGGUGAAAUGCGUAGAUAUUGGGAGGAACACCAGUGGCGAAGGCGGGUUUCUGGAUUUGAACUGACUCUGAGGCAUAAAAGCGUGGGUAGCAAACAGGAUUAGAUACCCUGGUGGUCCACGCCGUAAACGAUGGGUACUAGGUGUAGGAGGUAUCGACCCCUUCUGGGCCGUCGUUAACACAAUAAGUGCCCCGCCUGGGGAGUACGGUCGCAAGACUAAAACUUAAAGGAAUUGACGGGG
rnacentral:rRNA from 1 species